AUGUCCUGUGGCCCAGGGGAUGCUGAGCAGGAUGUGAGGGAUUCAGACAUGAGCUGCAGCCGCCGAACAUCCCGUCCCCAGGCUUCCAGCUUCACCAGGAGGGGUAUCAUCAAUGCAGAACCAUGUGCCAGGAUCCCGUUGUGGGUCCAGACACUGUUAUUGGUCCUGUUUAUGGCAGGAAAUGCAUCAAGUCAAACAACUAUCCCGGAAACAAAUUCGCCAAUUCUCCAAUCAUCAGUAGACGCCACUAACACCAUCACUCCCAAACCAGGAAGUCUUACAAGUUCUAUGUCUGCCGCUCCAACUGAAAC
rnacentral:lncRNA from 1 species